AUGAACGCUGGCGGCGUGCCUAAUACAUGCAAGUCGAGCGAACGGACGAGAAGCUUGCUUCUCUGAUGUUAGCGGCGGACGGGUGAGUAACACGUGGAUAACCUACCUAUAAGACUGGGAUAACUUCGGGAAACCGGAGCUAAAACCGGAUAAUAUUUUGAACCGCAUGGUUCAAAAGUGAAAGACGGUCUUGCUGUCACUUAUAGAUGGAUCCGCGCUGCAUUAGCUAGUUGGUAAGGUAACGGCUUACCAAGGCAACGAUGCAUAGCCGACCUGAGAGGGUGAUCGGCCACACUGGAACUGAGACACGGUCCAGACUCCUACGGGAGGCAGCAGUAGGGAAUCUUCCGCAAUGGGCGAAAGCCUGACGGAGCAACGCCGCGUGAGUGAUGAAGGUCUUCGGAUCGUAAAACUCUGUUAUUAGGGAAGAACAUAUGUGUAAGUAACUGUGCACAUCUUGACGGUACCUAAUCAGAAAGCCACGGCUAACUACGUG
rnacentral:rRNA from 1 species